AUUGAACGCUGGCGGCAGGCCUAACACAUGCAAGUCGAACGGUAACAGGAAGAAGCUUGCUUCUUUGCUGGCGAGUGGCGGACGGGUGAGUAAUGUCUGGGAAACUGCCUGAUGGAGGGGGAUAACUACUGGAAACGGUAGCUAAUACCGCAUAACGUCGCAAGACCAAAGAGGGGGACCUUCGGGCCUCUUGCCAUCGGAUGUGCCCAGAUGGGAUUAGCUAGUAGGUGGGGUAACGGCUCACCUAGGCGACGAUCCCCAGCUGGUCUGAGAGGAUGACCAGCCACACUGGAACUGAGACACGGUCCAGACUCCUACGGGAGGCAGCAGUGGGGAAUAUUGCACAAUGGGCGCAAGCCUGAUGCAGCCAUGCCGCGUGUAUGAAGAAGGCCUUCGGGUUGUAAAGUACUUUCAGCGGGGAGGAAGGGAGUAAAGUUAAUACCUUUACUCAUUGACGUUACCCGCAGAAGAAGCACCGGCUAACUCCGUG
rnacentral:rRNA from 1 species